GCCCAGUGAUGAGACCAAGGCGAAUAUGAGCUCAUUGAGCGAGAGUUGGGUUCUUGUUGCCUUGAAUGGCAGGUAAUCUUGGCAGUGCAGAGGAGGAUUUCUGCUCUGCUGUAAGGGCCUGCCGACAGAGACUUAGCUCAGCCAGAAUUAUUCCUCUACAGUUACUGCGGAGUAAUUGCUUUGGCUGAUGCUGACAGUUUGUUUGUGUGUGUGUUGUAUGUGUGUGUGUGCAGAAGGCAAAAAGUUCACCCAGCUCUCUUUGCUGUUCGUUGAGCUGUGACUGUCGUCUUUGGUAAUCUGAGGGCA
ensembl:snoRNA SCARNA10 small Cajal body-specific RNA 10